UUGAGGUAACAUGAUAACAGUUCAAUAUGGGGUGUGUAUUAAUGUAUUGAGGUAACAUGAUAACAGUUCAAUAUGGGGUGUGUAUUAAUGUAUUGAGGUCUGAUAGUAACAGUUCAAUAUGCGGUGUGUAUUAAUGUAUUGAGGUAACAUGAUAACAGUUCAAUAUGGGGUGUGUAUUUAUGUAUUGAGGUCUGAUAGUAACAGUUCAAUAUGGGGUGUGUAUUAAUGUAUUGAGGUCUGAUAGUAACAGUUCAAUAUGGGGUGUGUAUUAAUGUAUUGAGGUAACAUGAUAACAGUUCAAUAUGGGGUGUGUAUUAAUGUAUUGAGGUAACAUGAUAACAGUUCAAUAUGGGGUGUGUAUUAAUGUAUUGAGGUAACAUGAUAACAG